CAGGAGCAGGAGCAGGAGCAGGGACGGGUAGUGGAAGUAGCAGAAAAGAAGAGAAAGACGGGCAAAGUGAAAGAAAGCAAAGGCGGUGUUGGUCACCGGAGUUGCAUAGACGCUUCUUGCAAGCCCUUCAACAGCUUGGUGGUUCACAUGCUGCAACGCCAAAGCAGAUUAGGGAGAUAAUGAAGGUGGAUGGACUAACUAAUGAUGAAGUGAAGAGCCAUUUACAGAAAUACCGUUUGCAUACGAGAAGACCAAGCCCGGCAGUCCACAACAACAGCAAUCCACAAGCACCUCAGUUUGUAGUUGUUGGAGGCAUAUGGGUGCCACCACCUGAAUAUGCAGCAGUGGCUACAACAACAGCAUCAGGGGAAACAGCCACCUUAGCUGCAGCGGCCAACGGAAUCUAUGCUCCGGUGGCUGCACCACCACCCACUGCUCCUCAAAUUCUACAAAAGCAGAAACAUACACAAUCUGAGCAGAUGCAAUCAGAAGAAAGGGACAGCCAUAGUGAAGGCGGUGCUCGAUCUAAUUCCCCUGCUACAUCUUCCUCAACACAUACUACCACAAAUUCCCCUUUGUUUUGAUUGUCAUAACAGGAGAUCAGGCUGUAAAAUUUUGUAACCAAA
rnacentral:misc_RNA from 1 species